AGUGAACGCUGGCGGUAGGCCUAACACAUGCAAGUCGAACGGCAGCACAGUAAGAGCUUGCUCUUACGGGUGGCGAGUGGCGGACGGGUGAGGAAUACAUCGAAAUCUACUUUUUCGUGGGGGAUAACGUAGGGAAACUUACGCUAAUACCGCAUACGACCUACGGGUGAAAGCAGGGGAUCUUCGGACCUUGCGCGAUUGAAUGAGCCGAUGUCGGAUUAGCUAGUUGGCGGGGUAAAGGCCCACCAAGGCGACGAUCCGUAGCUGGUCUGAGAGGAUGAUCAGCCACACUGGAACUGAGACACGGUCCAGACUCCUACGGGAGGCAGCAGUGGGGAAUAUUGGACAAUGGGCGCAAGCCUGAUCCAGCCCUACCGCGUGGGUGAAGAAGGCCUUCGGGUUGUAAAGCCCUUUUGUUGGGAAAGAAAGGCAGCAGGUUAAUACCCCGCUGUUCUGACGGUACCCAAAGAAUAAGCACCGGCUAACUUCGUG
rnacentral:rRNA from 1 species